UACGAAGGGGGCUAGCGUUGUUCGGAAUUACUGGGCGUAAAGAGCGUGUAGGCGGCCUGACAGGUCUGCUGUGAAAACUCGAGGCUCAACCUCGAGAUGUCGGCGGAAACCGUCUGGCUAGAGUCCGGAAGAGGAGAGUGGAAUUCCUGGUGUAGCGGUGAAAUGCGCAGAUAUCAGGAAGAACACCUAUGGCGAAGGCAGCUCUCUGGGACGGGUACUGACGCUGAGACGCGAAAAGCGUGGGGAGCGAACAGG
rnacentral:rRNA from 1 species